UUAAAGAAAGCGUAAUAGCUCACUGGUCGAGUCGGCCUGCGCGGAAGAUGUAACGGGGCUAAGUAGUAAACCGAAGCUGCGGCAAUGUGCUUUUGCACAUUGGGUAGGGGAGCGUUCUGUAAGCGGUUGAAGGUGUGUGGUAACGCAUGCUGGACGUAUCAGAAGUGCGAAUGCUGACAUGAGUAACGAUAAAGGGGGUGAAAAACCUCCUCGCCGGAAGACCAAGGGUUCCUGUCCAACGUUAAUCGGGGCAGGGUAAGUCGACCCCUAAGGCGAGGCCGAAAGGCGUAGUCGAUGGGAAACGGGUUAAUAUUCCCGUACUUCUUACAAUUGCGAUGGGGGGGACGGAGAAGGCUAGGUGGGCCUGGCGACGGUUGUCCAGGUUCAAGUGCGUAGGCUUAAGAGUUAGGUAAAUCCGGCUCUUUUUAAGGC
rnacentral:rRNA from 1 species